rnacentral:tRNA from 2 species
GCCGGGGUGGCGGAAUGGCAGACGCACAGGACUUAAAAUCCUGCGGGGGCGACCCCGUACCGGUUCGAGUCCGGUCCUCGGCA